ACGCAGCUUGAAAUGAACGUGAUCCAUCAGUGGAAUGAAAGCCUUGGUCCGGUUGCCCCAGCAUGACAGAGCAGACCAGUACCAGGCACUGUCUUUCUCCUGCACCUGAUAAAUUGCAAGAGGCUCCAUCCCUGCAGUUCCAGUUCGUCCACUAGGUGGCAGAAUAUCAACAUUCAUCAUCCAUGGGAGGCCUGCCUCUUAGAAAGAGAGGAAAUUCGGGCUGCUGCAGUGUUUCUGCUGCUGUUGCCGUUACUAUAGGAGACUCCUAGGAGCUGCCGUUUCUUAUGGUG